UAAACAUGCCCGCACUGAUUAGCGCUAAUGCAUUGCAGGUGCGAGAGAGAGAGAAGCGGCGCUCACACAGGCUUCCUGUUACGCAAGCCAGGAUAAAAAGGGACCAUUCAGAGAGUGUUGAGCGGUGUUCAGUGGGUUUGAAGUGCUCAGUGAGUUGGAAGUGUUUGAAGAGCCUAAAGGGUUGACUUGGAGCAGUGUUGGAUACAAGCUUCCUCAGGAAAACCGUUGGGGUGUGGAGGUCGCCCAUUCGAGUUUGCUGGAUCAGAGUGAUCGUUUGUGGGAAGUCUGCUGGACUGAGCUAUCGUCUGGAUUGGUGCUGUGGAAGGAGAGAGAAGAGAUAAGUGAACUGAUUUCAUCUUAUGAGUAUUUAAAUUGCUGGAAGAGGAUGCAGUAAAUGUGGAUCUGAUUGUUGGAAGAGCUAUGUGUUUCAGAGUGUGUUGAGGAGGAAUUGAAAGAGAAAUCCCUCGUGGAGCGAGCACAACAAACGGAGUGGGGCCUCUGACCAGCCUUAACGUGUGAGUGAAUUGCAGUGCUUUUGCCUUAUUGAUACACAUUGAUUUGUGGCUGUGGAAUUGAAGUGAACACAAGUGUGCUGUGCCUUUGCUGAGAAGUGGCCCUAGCCCCAUUUACACGUUUGUGGAAAGUUACUAUAUCUGCUCCCCAUUGGAAGUCCAGUGUGAUACAGCUGCACUGAAGAGGGUACUCUGUACUGUGAAGGUCCUUAAUUGUUAUUUACUGUUUGAGCCCAGAAGCCUACCGCAUCACUGGAGAAACGAUCUUUUAACCCACUGUCUCCUUACUGUGAAUUGAAGAGAGUACUGUGCAGAUCCUCACCUGUUCCACUUACUGUUGAGUUCAGAGGCAUGCAGCAUCACUGGUAAAGUACCCUGUUUAAUCCAUCGUCUUCCUGCUGUACAUUGAAGAGAGUAUUUUGUACUGUGAAGAUCCUCACCUGUUCUACUUACCGUUUGAGUCCAGAAGGACGCAGCAUCAUGGGCGAAGUAAACCUUUAACUCACUGUCUUCCUCCUGUGGACCGAAGAGUACCGUGCACUGUGAAGAAUCCUUACCUGCUAUACUUAUUGCCCGAGUUCGGAAGUCUGCAGCACUGCUGGGAAAAAAAGCAUGCAGCAUCGCUGGUGAAGCCGUCUAGUGAUCCACUGGCUCGCCCCCCUGUGAACCGAAGGGAGAGCUGUGUACUGUGAAUAACCCUUACCUGUUAUUCUCACUAUCUGAGUCUGGAAGUCUGCAGCACCGCUGGUGAACGGAGUCCCUAAACUGCCGCCCAGGGGACACAGUGACAGUUGCGACACGCCCGCCCGUGGCAGAAGGAUAUCUAGAGGACAGUGAAGGCUAUCCAAUUGAUGCCCCUUGUUUUAUUGUUCAAUAAAGAUUGUUCCUCCUUUGAAACUUA